GAUGAACGCUGGCGGCGUGCCUAAUACAUGCAAGUCGAGCGAACGGACGAGAAGCUUGCUUCUCUGAUGUUAGCGGCGGACGGGUGAGUAACACGUGGAUAACCUACCUAUAAGACUGGGAUAACUUCGGGAAACCGGAGCUAAUACCGGAUAAUAUUUUGAACCGCAUGGUUCAAAAGUGAAAGACGGUCUUGCUGUCACUUAUAGAUGGAUCCGCGCUGCAUUAGCUAGUUGGUAAGGUAACGGCUUACCAAGGCAACGAUGCAUAGCCGACCUGAGAGGGUGAUCGGCCACACUGGAACUGAGACACGGUCCAGACUCCUACGGGAGGCAGCAGUAGGGAAUCUUCCGCAAUGGGCGAAAGCCUGACGGGGCAACGCCGCGUGAGUGUUGAAGGUCUUCGGAUCGUAAAACUCUGUUAUUAGGGAAGAACAUAUGUGUAAGUAACUGUGCACAUCUUGACGGUACCUAAUCAGAAAGCCACGGCUAACUACGUG
rnacentral:rRNA from 1 species